UUUUAUGGAGAGUUUGAUCCUGGCUCAGGAUGAACGCUGGCGGCGUGCCUAAUACAUGCAAGUCGAGCGAACAGACGAGGAGCUUGCUCCUCUGACGUUAGCGGCGGACGGGUGAGUAACACGU
rnacentral:rRNA from 1 species